AUGCAUUGUGCUGUGCAUUUAAACUUUUUGUACUGUUCUCUGAUUUCCAUAGAUAAAGAGCUAGACAUUACCUUUGAAGAAAUUCUGAUCUUCGCAACGGGAGCUGAUUCUGUACUCCCUCUCGGUUUUCCACGAGAGUGUGAGAUCCAGUUCUAUGAUCAAGAGCCAGGAAGCCAGCAGAUUCCUUACUCCUCAACCUGUGCCCUUGUUCUGUAUUUGCCCAGAGGAAAAUAUGUGAAGAAUGGGCUAUGUGAAGAAAUCGAGAACCUUUUAUGUCUACCGGCCAGUGAUGAUUCUGAAAGAACAUACCUGGAAUCUGUUGCUACAGUAACGAACGCAAAUUCAUGCUCAUGCGUGAUUUUAUUUCAGUGCAGUUGUUAAGAUUGUGGUUAUUUCAGCAAACAGUUUUACAUAUUUUAACAGUGUUUAGAUAAACUUUUCUAUAUCAUUCAAUGGUACUAUUUAGAGAUCAAUGAUACACACACAUUUUAGACACUUAUUAGGCUAACUUGAUAUGACAGGUUGGAAAACAUCACGUUGACUCUAAAACCUGAUGCGAAAAUGUCAGUCAUUGCAGUCAAAUAUUGAGAUGAACUUUAUAAAGUAUCAUCUAUUUAUAUUAAAUUAAUAUGUUAAAUUGGUAUCUUCUCCUAUACCCAUUUUGUGAUCAUUUUGUUUUCAAUCAGCUGAAAUGAUUCGGGACAUCCACAUUUAACUUGAAAAAGGCAUAACGUGGCUUAAUGCUUUAAAACUGCAUUUUAAAAAGACCAAAACAUUAGGCAUAUAUAAAUAAAGCAUUCUAUUCACAGACA
ensembl:lncRNA